ensembl:ncRNA F46F3.15 ncRNA
AAACGUAAAAAAGAACGAGCCGUAACAAAAAUAACGAAGAGAAGGAGGACCUGCGAUUGAAUGAUCAGAGGAGCGCGCGCGCAAGGGAGCGUAUGCAUGUGUUGGUUCGAAAGAUGACGACGAGCCAAAGUAAACACGGCCUCUUAGAUAUUGGGGUCGUCCCUCUGUGCCUCUCUCUAUUCGCUUCGUUUAUUAUCAACAAACUUUUCU